AGAAGGAAAACCCUCCUGUAAUGCGAAAUCACUGAGGAGAAGCAACCUUCCAGAUGGAAAUGCGCAGUGAUCCAAGGGCUGACUGGAAGGGCAGCAAGAAAUAAAAAGUGUCUUGUCACCUCCUCAUUCUCUUUGUAAAUACAGUGGGGUUGAUACUGCAGGAAGUAUACUAGGCUUAAUUAGAUUUCAGUCAUGAAUUAAAGUUGUCAUUUGGGGAAGUAUAUAAAAUACCUCCAAUACAAAAAAUAUUUUCAAAAUUAAUGAGAAUUUCUAAAAUGCCAACAGGACUGACAACACUGAGACAGGGUAGAAACCAACAUUAAGUUAGAGGGAUAGGUUCAAUCAUGGUUACAACAUACACAAGUAAAGCAAGAUGCAGAGAAGACAGAUCACAUCAAACAUUUGAAGACCACAAAAUCCUACCAACUGGAUUGGUGAAGCGGUAAAAUCUAUUGCAUUGUAAUUUAAACAGAAAUGAUUAACUGUAUAGGGAUGUUAAAUAUCUUUAGAGCACAAUGUCUUUUGCAUUUUUUGGGGGGGGCGACAUGAAUUUGUUCAAAUUUAUGUAACUGUAAAAGCAGGUACACUCCUUACAUCAGUUGACCAUAUGACAGCUGUCACCACCACCAAGGCUUUCUUAAAGGCUAGGUGAAAAUAGGGAGACAUUUAUCAUUUGUCCACUGGUCAUAAAACUUUUAUGAUUAUUAAGACCUUCACUAAUAAGAAUUGCUAUAAUUUAAAUGUUCUAGAUAUUGUAUUUUUUAUUGAAUUUUUACAACCUUUUUUGGCAUUUGAGUUUAUAUGUCCAUUUUGACUUUGAAGAUGACAAUGCUAUAAAAUGCACUGUAAGGUAAAAGGAUUUUUUUUUUUUUUUUUGAGAUAGAGUCUUGCUCUGUUGCCCAGGCUGGAGUGCAGUGGCACGAUAUUGGUUCACUGCAACCUCCGCCUCCCGGGUUCAAGCGAUUCUCCUGCCUCAGCCUCCCGAGUAGCUGAGAUUACAGGCGCCUGCCACCGAGCCUGGCUAAUUUUUGUAUUUUUAGUAGAGAUGGGUUUUCACUAUCUUGGCCAGGCUGGUCUUGAACUCUUGACCUCGUGAUCCACCCACCUCGGCCUCCCAAAGUGCUGGGAUUACAGGCGUGAGCCACCGCGCCCAGCCAAGGUAAAGUUCUUUAAAUGUUUUAAGAACAAGCAAUUUCAUAAGUCCUUCAGGAAUUUUAAAAUUACAUAUUAAAUAUUUUGGAAAUGUUCUCAUCCAAUUAAGUCAGAUGCUUACAAAGUUAAUCUAAUUGAUCAUUUAUUUAAAUUUAAUUUUACCUUCAUUAUUAUAAGGGUAUUUAGAAAUACUGAAGGACACUUAAAUGACACAUUACUAAUUCCUUCAGGUAGCUGUGGACAAUACUGAAGCAUGGAACUUUUGUGAAAGAAAAGAUGAAUUUGAUUAACAAGGGAGACUUUCAUAAGAGUUACAUUAAAAAGACUUAUUUGCACAAUCAGAUAAAAUACAAUGUACAUACAGGUAGGCCUAAAUGGGAAAAUGAAGCAUUACCAAGAAUGAUUUAUUAGAUUAAGAAAAGAAACAUAAAAAAGCAUUUCUUCACUUCUCUGAGAAGUGAAAUAAAGAAUGGAUUUGGUCAAAGUAAGAGAAGCUAGAGUAAUGAAACUAUAUUAACUGGAUUGUUUUAAAGUUCAAUUGGAGAACUGCCUGUUCGAAGGGCCUUUUCAUAGGAAACGAAGGGGACAUAAGGUCAGGCCUCAGAUAAAAAUGUGAGGAGGCAAGAUACAUAAUGUAGCCAGUUUUCCAUGUUCCAGCAUUUAAGGAUGACACUUUCUCAGCGGAAACUACUGUCCUCCCCUUUCCACCCAAGUGGUGCUGACUCCAAAAGGGGUGCAGGUAGAAGGGAAAUACAGGGAAUUAUAUCAAUUUAUUUGAAAACAGCAUAUCCUCUCAAUGGCACUAAAAUACUGAGUUUAUAAGAAAAAUAUAUAGAUUAUAUAGAUUUUCAUAGGCUGAUAAUGCCAAGAACCAAUGGAGACCUCAAAUUAAACACUUUCUGUGCAUGAAUUUUGGCAAAGAAUAUUUCAGAAAUAAUGGCAAAAAACUUAAAUAUUCAAUGUCAUAAAUACAGUCAUCAGUGUUUUGUCAACAACAAAAUGCACUUGUAUAUGUAAGCAAAGGCUGGUCCUGAGACUUAUAACAGGCCUUCCCUUUGGUAACAUCAAAAUCAACAUAAAACAGAGUUGGGCAACCUAACAGAAUAGAAAUAAGUACCUCUGAAGACAGAAAGAAAGAAAGAUGACUGUAUCGUGGUCUCGUUACUGGCUGCUUUAAAAAACUAGUGGAUUAAAAAGUUGUGAGAGGGAAUAGAAAAUUAGGAACUGCUUCUCAGAGGCACAGGCCAACCAAGAAAAUGUGGUGUUGGCAUUACAUAUAUUAGGUCUACCACUGUUUAAAUUUUCUUAAAAACACUGAAGAGCAUUUUAUAAAUUACUGGAUUAAAUAACCUGAAGAAAAAAGAAGGAAUGAGGCCUGAAGACACGUCCAAUUCACUGAAGAACUGGGGCAGCCAAGAGCUUGAAAAACUAAAAUUAAACACAACGGACUGUAUCAGCCACAGCUUGGGCAGACCGAUGGGCCCUGAAUUUCUACGUUCUUUAAAAUCAGGAUAUUAUUGCAGCUCAGGGUUUAGUUUUGGAAAGAUACCAGAUAAAUCUCAAGCAACAGUGUGAAAGAAAGGCAGAGUUCAGGCAACAUUUAUAUAAGAUCAGAUGAACCCCUGAUAUUCCUUCCAGGUCUUGAAUACAAUCUGUGAAAAUUCAGAGUUCAGGGGUAGAGAGUAGAUUGUGAGGAUUAAUGAAAAUGAAUAUUAGGUUUGAUUUUCACAUUAGAAAAGGGAGGUCAUAAUUACAUUAAAUGUUGGCAAAUGUGAAACAGGUGUUAAAACCCAGUCUCAAUUCAAUAAUUUGGGAGUUUAUAAAAUUCAAUGUUGUCAACUCCAAGAGGCAAGAAUAAUUUUGUUUGUCUCAGUGUGCUAAGAUAUGACAACAUAAGUAAAAGUUCACUAUUUCAUACUGUUGAUACAAGUAAAAAACUGGUACCAUAAAAAUGUAUACUUAUGAAAUGCACAAAUUGUUAAAUAGCUCUUCGGGGACUUUUCUUCAGGAUAUGAAAAAGGAGGGGGCAGAGUUGCUCUUUCCCUGGUAGAUAAGCAUACAAGUUAUGUUCAGGCAUAGGCCUUUGGGAUGACCAAAGUAAUCAGGAGGAAAAAGUCCUCAGAUAUAGCACUUUGUCAUUUUGAAACUUCAAAUUACAGUUAAAAAACAGGUUUCAGACUUUUUUUGAGGUAACUUGAGCUCCUGCAAUCAACAACCUUCUUCACCCCAUAAUGUAAAUGAGUAUCGAAAAAAAGGAAACAAAGUAAGCCCCGUCACACGGACAGUAAGAGAAAUUCUGAACUCCAGGUCUGUUCCAGGAUGAGAGCCAUGUCCAAGAUUCUGCAUUCUCUUCUUCCAACCACUCCUUUCAAGAACUCAAAAUGCCAGUCAGUGCAGGUAAAGGAAGAUGCACAUCCGCCGGUUGCCAAUUUCUGAAAUUUUCUUGUUACUUCUACGAUACAGACAAGUGAUGCCUUCUCAACUUCGUCCAGGUUUCUUCCAAUCUCCGAACACGGUGACUCCGAAUCCUCUUGCCACUCCCUUCUCCAGGGACCUACCUAGGCAGCACUCCCAGCCCCUGCCAGCUCUGGAAGCUGCAGAGAUCCCGACAGUCGGGGAUGGGGAUUGAAUCCUCUCAUUGCAGUGCAAUUAAGCGGAACCACGACCACCGCACAGAUUGGCUGACAACACACAUUCCAUAAGACCAGCAAUCGAAUUUUGAGAAGCCUUGUCCAAUCAACAGGCUUUAUUUGGGAUUCAGUUUUUUACUUUGUUCUAUUAGGAGGAAAUAUAAUCAGCCACCAGCUUAGCCCUCCAAAAGAGGGGACAGAGAUGUUUCUCCGCUUUUGCACGCUAUAAAGUGAAUCUACAAGUAGUAGUUGGUGGAGGGAAAAUGGGCCUGCAUGGAGAAGGCGCCCACCACGAAGGCACGGCCAAGCCGGGUUGCACGCAAGAAACACACAAAAUACCAGAAGAGAACCAGGCUGAGAGAAGUUAAGUGACGUGCCCAAGGAUACACAGCUCUCUGCAUGUGACACGCUGACUCCCCUUCUGCCAUGAUUGUAAGUUUCGUCACUAGAAGCAGAUGCCGACACUAUGCUUCAUGUACAGCCUGCAGAACUGUGAGCCAAGAACUAUGUACUGAAGAUUUGGGGGCAAAAGAGGACCACAUCUGCAACUAACUGGAGAUGGUUCAGAAGAUGAUGCACACACACUCAAGCAUAUCGAGAGAGAAAGGGGCAGAGGACACAGAAGGCCCUGAGUUUAAUGUGCAUGUUUUGGGGAAUUUGGAAGAAGAGCCCCUGAUAAUUCAUCCUUCAUUAUUCUUGCAACUUUUCUCUAAAUCUGAAAUUAUAUUAAAAUAUAAAGUUAGAAGAAAACA
rnacentral:lncRNA from 1 species